UAGGGAAUCUUCGGCAAUGGGGGCAACCCUGACCGAGCAACGCCGCGUGAGUGAAGGAGGUUUUCGGAUCGUAAAGCUCUGUUGUAAGAGAAGAACGUGUGUGAGAGUGGAAAGUUCACACAGAGACGGUAACUUACCAGAAAGGGACGGCUAACUACGUGCCAGCAGCCGCGGUAAUACGUAGGUCCCGAGCGUCGUCCGGAUUUAUUGGGAGUAAAGCGAGCGCAGGCGGUUUAAUAAGUCUGAAGUUAAAAGCAGUGGCUUAAACAUUGUUCGCUUUGGAAACUGUUAAACUUGAGUGCAGAAGGGGAGAGUGGAAUUCCAUGUGUAGCGGUGAAAUGCGUAGAUAUAUGGAGGAACACCGGUGGCGAAAGCGGCUCUCUGGUCUGUAACUGACGCUGAGGCUCGAAAGCGUGGGGAGCAAACAGG
rnacentral:rRNA from 1 species